GGCUGCAGUGGGGAAUAUUGCACAAUGGGCGAAAGCCUGAUGCAGCGACGCCGCGUGAGGGAUGACGGCCUUCGGGUUGUAAACCUCUUUCAGUAGGGAAGAAGCGAAAGUGACGGUACCUGCAGAAGAAGCACCGGCUAACUACGUGCCAGCAGCCGCGGUAAUACGUAGGGUGCGAGCGUUAUCCGGAAUUAUUGGGCGUAAAGAGCUCGUAGGCGGUUUGUCGCGUCUGUCGUGAAAGUCCGGGGCUUAACCCCGGAUCUGCGGUGGGUACGGGCAGACUAGAGUGCAGUAGGGGAGACUGGAAUUCCUGGUGUAGCGGUGGAAUGCGCAGAUAUCAGGAGGAACACCGAUGGCGAAGGCAG
rnacentral:rRNA from 1 species